rnacentral:rRNA from 1 species
UACGAUGGAGUGCAAGCGUUGCUCGGAAUCACUGGGCGUAAAGGGUGCGUAGGCGGGUCUUUAAGUCAGGGGUGAAAUCCUGGAGCUCAACUCCAGAACUGCCUUUGAUACUGAGGAUCUUGAGUUCGGGAGAGGUGAGUGGAACUGCGAGUGUAGAGGUGAAAUUCGUAGAUAUUCGCAAGAACACCAGUGGCGAAGGCGGCUCACUGGCCCGAUACUGACGCUGAGGUGCGAAAGCGUGGGGAGCAAACAGG